GAGCUUCAGCGUCAGUUGCGCUCCCGCCGGCUGCCUUCGCAAUCGGGGUUCUUCGUCAUAUCUAAGCAUUUCACCGCUACACGACGAAUUCCGCCGGCGUUGCGCGUACUCAAGGGAACCAGUAUGCGCUGCAAGUCAGACGUUGGGCGCCUACAUUUCACAACACACUUAAUCCCCGGCCUACGCUCCCUUUAAACCCAAUAAAUCCGGAUAACGCCCGGACCUUCCGUAUUACCGCGGCUGCUGGCACGGAAUUAGCCGGUCCUUAUUCAUGCGGUACCUGCAAAAAGGGACGCGUCCCUCACUUUAUCCCCGCAUAAAAGCAGUUUACAACCCGUAGGGCCGUCCUCCUGCACGCUACUUGGCUGGUUCAGGCUUCCGCCCAUUGACCAAUAUUCCUCACUGCUGCCUCCCGUAGGAGUUUGGACCGUGUCUCAGUUCCAAUGUGGGGGACCUUCCUCUCAGAACCCCUACUGAUCGUCGCCUUGGUGGGCCGUCGCCCCGCCAACUAGCUAAUCAGACGCAUCCCCCUCCGUUACCGAUAAAUCUUUACUUCAUAUCUGAUGCCGUCAACGAAGACUAUGCGGUAUUAGUCUGCCUUUCGGCAGGUUAUCCCACAGUAAUGGGAAGGUUGGAUACGCGUUACUCACCCGUGCGCCGGUCGACGUCCAAAGAGUGCAAGCACUCAAUGCCGUUUCCCCUCGACUUGCAUGUGUUAAGCCUGUAGCUAGCGUUCAUCCUGAGCCAGGAUCAAACCCUG
rnacentral:rRNA from 1 species